rnacentral:lncRNA from 1 species
AUGUGGAGCAGAGGAUUCACUGGUUUGAUGUUCUGGCUCUCCAAGGGACUCUCAAGAAUCUUCUCUAGUUUCAUGCCUGACCAGGGAUGGAUCUUAGUUCCCAUACCACGAAUUGAACCUGUGCCCCCUGCAUUGCAAGGCAGAUUCCUAACCACUGGAUCACCAGGAAAUACCUCAAAAGAGCCUACUCAUUAGAAAAUAUCCUGAUGAUGUGAAAAAUUGAAGGCAAAACGAGAAAGAGCCAGCAGAGGAUAAGAUGGUUUGGUAGCAUCACAGACUCAAUGGACAUGAAUUUGAGCAUACUCCAGGAGAUUGUGGAGGACAAAGGAGCCUGGUGUGCUGCAGUCCAUGGGAUUGUAAAGAGCUGGACGUGAAAUACCCACUGAACAACUACACCACUCUUGAAAAUAACUUUGAUAAUCCGUUUGUCUCUUUACAAGUGUUUAAGGUAAUGUCUACAUUUUAAAAUCUGAGCUUAAGUAGCUGCAAAAGAUGUAAAUUCCACCUUUGUUAUAAAUACUAAAAAAAUUGAUCUCCCAAAAAU